UACGUAGGUGGCAAGCGUUAUCCGGAAUUAUUGGGCGUAAAGAGCGCGCAGGUGGUUGAUUAAGUCUGAUGUGAAAGCCCACGGCUUAACCGUGGAGGGUCAUUGGAAACUGGUCGACUUGAGUGCAGAAGAGGGAAGUGGAAUUCCAUGUGUAGCGGUGAAAUGCGUAGAGAUAUGGAGGAACACCAGUGGCGAAGGCGGCUUCCUGGUCUGUAACUGACACUGAGGCGCGAAAGCGUGGGGAGCAAACAGGAUUAGAUACCCCGGUA
rnacentral:rRNA from 1 species